GAGGAUGUAGCUCAGUGGUAGAGUGUUUGCCUAGCCUGUAGGAGAGCCUGGGUUCAAUCCCCAGUACUUG
rnacentral:tRNA from 1 species